AUUGAACGCUGGCGGCAGGCCUAACACAUGCAAGUCGAGCGAGCGGCGGACGGGUGAGUAAUGUAUGGGGACUGCCCGAUAGAGGGGGAUAACUACUGGAAACGGUGGCUAAUACCGCAUACUAUCGGAUAACCCAGAUGGGAUUAGAUAGUAGGGGGGGUAAAGGCUUACCUAGGCGACGAUCUCUAGCUGGUCUGAGAGGAUGAUCAGCCACCCCGGGACUGAGACCCGGCCCAGACGCGUACGGAGGCAGCAGGGGGGAAUAUUGCACAAUGGGCGCAAGCCUGAUGCAUCCAUGCCGCGUGGAUGAAGAAGGCCUUAGGGUUGUAAAGUACUUUCAGCGGGGAGGCGUUACCCGCAGAAGAAGCACCGGCUAACGCCGUGCCAGCCGCCGCGGUAAUAC
rnacentral:rRNA from 1 species